GGCGGCGUGCUUAACACAUGCAAGUCGAACGAACCUUCGGGUUAGUGGCGGACGGGUGAGUAACGCGUGGGAAUCUGCCCUCAGGAGGGGGAUAACGGCUGGAAACGGCCGCUAAUACCCCAUAUGCCGAGAGGUGAAAUGAAUUUCGCCUGAGGAUGAGCCCGCGUCUGAUUAGCUAGUUGGUGGGGUAAGAGCCUACCAAGGCUUCGAUCAGUAGCUGGUCUGAGAGGAUGAUCAACCACACUGGGACUGAGACACGGCCCANACUCCUACGGGAGGCAGCAGUGGGGAAUUUUCCGCAAUGGGCGAAAGCCUGACGGAGCAACGCCGCGUGAGGGAUGAAGGCCUCUGGGCUGUAAACCUCUUUUCUCANGGAAGAAGAACUGACGGUACUUGNNGAAUAAGCCACGGCUAAUUCCNUGCCAGCAGCC
rnacentral:rRNA from 1 species